GGAUUGAACGCUGGCGGCAUGCCUUACACAUGCAAGUCGAACGGCAGCACGGGAGCAAUCCUGGUGGCGAGUGGCGAACGGGUGAGUAAUAUAUCGGAACGUGCCCAGUAGUGGGGGAUAGCCCGGCGAAAGCCGGAUUAAUACCGCAUACGACCUGAGGGUGAAAGCGGGGAUCGCAAGACCUCGCGCUACUGGAGCGGCCGAUAUCAGAUUAGCUAGGUUGGUGGGGUAAAGCCUACAAGGCAACGAUCUGUAGUUGGUCUGAGAGGACACCAGCCACACGUGGGACUGAGACACGGCCCAGACCUCCUACGGAGGCAGCGAGGUGGGAAGUUUUCGGAACUAAUGGGCGACGAAGCCGUGA
rnacentral:rRNA from 1 species